rnacentral:tRNA from 3 species
CGUGCAGUAGCUCAGACGGUAGAGCAGCACCUUCAUAAGGUGAUGGUCGGUGGUUCAAGUCCACCCUGCACGACCA